rnacentral:tRNA from 1 species
GCAGGUGUAGUUCAAUGGUAGAAUGUCAGCUUCCCAAGCUGAAGACGCGGGUUCGAUUCCCGUCACCUGCUCCA